AUCAAGAUGUGUGCGUUCGCCCGGCUUUUUGCCGGGAGGAAAGUCCGGACACUGCUGGGCAGGAUUCCGUGCGUAAGCGCGGGUGUCAGCCGUCAAGGGCUGGCAACGGAAAGUGUCGCAGAAAAUAAACCGCCGGGUCACGCCGGUAAGGGUGAAAAGGUGGGGUAAGAGCCCACCGCGGCUUUGGCGACAAGGUCGGCAUGACAAACCCAAUCCAGUGCAAGACAAAAUAGGGGAGUGGGCUGCCCGUCCAAAACUCCCGGGUAUGUUGCACCGCCGCAAGGCGGAAUCUCAAGCGAAACGCUUGGGGUUAGAGGAAUGAACGCGACCAGGCCCACAAGGCCUGGCACAGAAUCCGGCUUAUAGCAUCUUGGUCUUU
rnacentral:RNase_P_RNA from 1 species